UAGUUGAGUUGAGUUGAGUUUAAGAGAAUAGCUUAAAAACACAGAAACAUUUCAACUAUUAAAAAUUUUUAUUUAUACAUCACUGUUUCAAUAUUUUCAUUUUCCACAUCAAAUGCCAUAAGAUUCUUGAUGAAAGGGCAAAGAGACAGGAAAAUUGAAAGGUAUGAAUGUUAUCCUUUGUCUUGAAAUUAAGGAGGGGGAGGAAAAGGGGAAAUGCAGUUAUCUAUACAGAAACCACUUUCUCAAAAGUGACUUCUGGAGGCACAGAAAUACUUAGUGAUUGACGUCAUUUAGGCCAACAAUUUUUUUCACUCUAAAAAAAAAAGGGCAAAAAAAGUAAGGAAUAAACUGUUUUGCCUUCAAGCUUUUAUAGUAGUCACUGGAAAUGAGACACUUUCCCCAGGAGAAACAUAUUUCUUUUGUCAUUUCCUAAUUCACAAUGUUUUAAAAAAUCAAACUCAUUAGUGAACUGGUAGCUGACCUAUUCACCUAUCCAA
rnacentral:misc_RNA from 1 species